rnacentral:rRNA from 1 species
UACGAAGGGGGCUAGCGUUGCUCGGAAUCACUGGGCGUAAAGGGUGCGUAGGCGGGUUUUUAAGUCAGGGGUGAAAUCCUGGAGCUCAACUCCAGAACUGCCUUUGAUACUGAAGAUCUUUGAGUCCGGGAGAGGUGAGUGGAACUGCGAGUGUAGAGGUGAAAAUUCGUAGAUAUUCGCAAGAACACCAGUGGCGAAGGCGGCUCACUGGCCCGGUACUGACGCUGAGGCACGAAAGCGUGGGGAGCAAACAGG